CGGACGGGUGAGUAACGCGUGGGUAACCUGCCUCAUACAGGGGGAUAACAGUUAGAAAUGACUGCUAAUACCGCAUAAGCCCACGGGUCGGCAUCGACCUGAGGGAAAAGGAGCAAUCCGCUUUGAGAUGGCCUCGCGCCGAUUAGCUAGUUGGUGAGGUAACGGCCCACCAAGGCGACGAUCGGUAGCCGGACUGAGAGGUUGAACGGCCACAUUGGGACUGAGACACGGCCCAG
rnacentral:rRNA from 1 species